GCCUGGGUAGCUCAGUGGUUGAGCAUCUGCCUUUGGCUCAGGGCGUGAUCCUAGGAUCUGGGAUCAAGUCCCACAUCAGGCU
rfam:Canis lupus familiaris chromosome 7, whole genome shotgun sequence.